GAUGAACGCUGGCGGCGUGCCUAAUACAUGCAAGUCGAGCGAACAGACGAGGAGCUUGCUCCUCUGACGUUAGCGGCGGACGGGUGAGUAACACGUGGAUAACCUACCUAUAAGACUGGGAUAACUUCGGGAAACCGGAGCUAAUACCGGAUAAUAUAUUGAACCGCAUGGUUCAAUAGUGAAAGACGGUUUUGCUGUCACUUAUAGAUGGAUCCGCGCCGCAUUAGCUAGUUGGUAAGGUAACGGCUUACCAAGGCAACGAUGCGUAGCCGACCUGAGAGGGUGAUCGGCCACCCUGGAACUGGGACACGGUCCAGACUCCUACGGGAGGCAGCAGUAGGGAAUCGUCCGCAAUGGGCGAAAGCCUGGCGGAGCAACGCCGCGUGAGUGAUGAAGGUCUUCGGAUCGUAAAACUCUGUUAUUAGGGAAGAACAAAUGUGUAAGUAACUAUGCACGUCUUGACGGUACCUAAUCAGAAAGCCACGGCUAACUACGUG
rnacentral:rRNA from 1 species